GCCCUGGGUACGAGGUUGCAACAUUUCGCAACGAAACUUUGCAAUUUUACUCAUUUUAAGACGCUCUUUCUAGGUGUAGCUAGUAUUGGAUUUAGCUCCUCUUGUCUAGAUCAAAAUUUCGUCCAUAGCUGGAAUCACCCAUUAAUAGACGUAUGAAUAAUGGCCGCAAAACGUUUCUGUGUUUACAAGUUGAAAUUGCCAGUAAUUCACUACUAAUUUUGUGUUGACACGUAUUUGAUAUUCUUACCCGCUUGUAAGGUAAACAUUAAAGUUGUAAAAAAUUCAUUAUAUAAGAAAAAAUUUAAACACAAAUGAUCAACCCGUACCGUAUAAAACUCGUCUUGUAAUCUGCUGGCGUGUUAUGCAGAGCGACAUAUGUGUACGUGAGAGUAUAACGUCAUUUAAUAGAAAGUGUGGCAAGUGAUUAAACUAAAAAGUGCUUUCUUUAUACCGCAUAAACAGCGGAUGUUAAUCAGACACGUAAAAGGUUCAAAUGUAAACUGCUAGUAUAAGCAACUAAUAUGUUUUGAGUCAACCUCGUUGCCAGGGCCUUUUUGAAAAUGCGGCGAAGGGAAGGCCCUGGGAACGACGUUGGUUUAGAGUGUCUUGUUUCUCGAGCUUCCUCAGUAAAUUUUGUAUUCUCAAAAGUAUCAAGUAAAUAAACUGAAUCCGUAUUUUAUCCCCCCGUCCGAGUUUUAUACCCUCGUCCGAGUUUUAUCCCCCCGUCCGAGUUUUAUCCCCUCGUCCGUGUUUUAUUCCCCCGUCCGUGUUUUAUCCUCCCGUCCGUGUUUUAUCCCGCCGUCCGUGUUUUAUCCCCCCGUCCGUGUUUUAUCCCCCCGUCCGUGUUUUAUCCCCCCGUCCGUGUUUUAUCCCCCCGUCCGUGUUUUAUCCCCCCGUCCGUGUUUUAUCCCCUCGUCCGUGUUUUAUCCCCCCGUCCGUAUCCGUGCCAUCCGUAUCCGUGCCGUCCGUAUCCGUGUUUUAACCCUACCCACCAAGGAAUAUUGCAGCCUAGUCCCAGGCCUUCCAAGCGCGGGCGAGUCACAGGCUGUCGUGAACUUGCGGGCGUCAGUUUCUGAAAAUAUCCGAACUGGGGGUCGCGCUGGAAGGCCUAGCAAAAUUCGCAUAAUCAACAUGGCGGUGUAUUUUCGUGAAUUGGAUUAUAAAUGCCCCUAACAGGCAGGUUAUACCGGCGGCGUUGGUCAGGUCUCUGAAAACGAACGUGUAUUUUUUUACUAUAGUGUGUCUAAACACAGGUUUAUAUUGCUGUAUUAAUAUUUGAUAGGCCGUUUUUGGCUAAUUCUCAACCCUUUCAAAUAUGGUUACUCAAGUUUAAACAUAGCUCUGUUGGUCAAUUUUGCACGAAAAUGCACAGGGCAUAUAUUAAAAUUUAAGUUCGACAAUACUGAAUGCAAUACACAUAGUUCACAUGUAAUAGCUCUUUUAGUUUUCAAGUUAAAACAAAUCACACCGGGCAACUUUUUUUUGUGUCACCCGGUACUAUAAUAAAUAAUAAUAAAUUAAAAUUAUUCAGUACAUUAAAUUUAAGUAGAAUAAAUUAAUUUAAUACAGACACUCACUCAGACUAUGAUAUAUUUUAUACCUUUAAACUGUGGUAUAUAACAGACAACCAUUGAGAUGCACAAGCAUACGAAAACAAGCCUAAAGCCUAUUAUUAUUAAAGUACAAAUAAUGCAAUAAUUAUGCAUUUGUUUUGUCACCUCUGUAAUUGUAACAUUGCAAAUUUCACAGAAAAUUUUUAGCCUUUGACCUAGGUUCCCAGAAAGAAAAAAAAAUUUUCCACCCCUGGAUGACCCUUGCAGCCCUGUUUUGGGGUACAACUCUUUAUUCGUCUCAGCAUACCUAUACCUUUAGACACCUUGGAUACAGUGGUUUCCACUUGUUUUUUCCACAAAAGUUGAUCAUCUAUAAUAAUGCCUAACGUUUUCGAAUACU